AGCAGCCGCGGUAAUUCCAGCUCCAAUAGCGUAUAUUAAAGUUGCUGCAGUUAAAAAGCUCGUAGUUGAAUUUCGGGACCAAUAUGUCGGUCGUGCCUCGGUACGUACUGGCAUCGUUGGUUUCUCCUUUCUGAAGAACCAUGAUGUCAUUUAUUUGGUGUCGUGGGGAAUCAGGACUGUUACUUUGAAAAAAUUAGAGUGUUUAAAGCAGGCUCACGCUUGAAUACAUUAGCAUGGAAUAAUGAAAUAGGACGUUUGAUUCUAUUUUGUUGGUUUCUAGGAUCGACGUAAUGAUUAAUAGGGAUAGUUGGGGGCAUUAGUAUUCAAUUGUCAGAGGUGAAAUUCUUGGAUUUAUUGAAGACUAACUACUGCGAAAGCAUUUGCCAAGGAUGUCUUCAUUAAUCAAGAACGAAAGUUAGGGGAUCGAAGACGAUCAGAUACCGUCGUAGU
rnacentral:rRNA from 1 species